UGAAGUUUGCUAUGCAUAAUGCAAUUACAAAAGAUAAUAAUAAGAGUUAAAAUCUUCAACAAAAAAAUGGCAAUGCACAUUCGCAAGCUUUUUCUCAUGGGACUUUUAUGCAUUGCAUUGGUCCUAUCUUCUGCAGGAGCAACCCAAGGUGAUAAUCAUAAAAUAAAAUGUAUUUUUGGAGAUUGUGGAGAUUGUGAAAGAAGAUGCAUUUUGGAGGGAUUUCACAAAGGGGAAUGUGAUUAUGAAUCGGAAUGUUGUUGUCAGUUUCCUUUCUAAAAUAAAUUACGUUAUUAUAAAUACGUAACAAUCUCGAAUAAAAUAAAUAAGACACAUCUUCUUCCAAAUCUUUUAUUUUAUACACAUAUAUUGUCUGGUUUGAGCAGAAGUAAAAGUGGAAGAAUUGAAAGAAGAAUGACUUCUUCAACUGAAAGAUAGGAAAUAUAGUUAUAGAAUCAAAAGUUGUGAUGAAAAAUAUUAUGUUUAAAAUAAUAUACACCAUUGGUGUAAAAUAUAGUUGAUAUAUUAAUGAAAAUUUACUAUUGUGUUUUA